rnacentral:tRNA from 1 species
CAAAAAGUAGUAUAUAAGUUACAAUUCGCUUACACCGAGUAAGAGGCCCACAACCCUUUUUGA